rnacentral:rRNA from 1 species
GACAGAGGGGGCAAGCGUUGCUCGGAAUUACUGGGCGUAAAGGGCGCGUAGGCGGAAUGGCAAGUCGGUCGUGAAAUCCUUCGGCUCAACCGAAGAACGUCGAUCGAAACUGCCGUUCUUGAGGAUUCAGAGGAGACUGGAAUUCCCGGUGUAGCGGUGAAAUGUGUAGAGAUCGGGAGGAACACCGGUGGCGAAGGCGGGUCUCUGGGCAAUUCCUGACGCUGAGGCGCGAAAGCGUGGGGAGCAAACGGG